AUUGAACGCUAGCGGCAUGCUUUACACAUGCAAGUCGAACGGCAGCGCGGGGCAACCUGGCGGCGAGUGGCGAACGGGUGAGUAAUACAUCGGAACGUGCCCUGUGAUGGGGGAUAACUACGCGAAAGCGUAGCUAAUACCGCAUACGACCCAAGGGUGAAAGUGGGGGAUCGCAAGACCUCACGUCAUAGGAGCGGCCGAUGGCGGAUUAGCUAGUUGGUGGGUAAAGGCUUACCAAGGCGACGAUCCGUAGCUGGUCUGAGAGGACGACCAGCCACACUGGGACUGAGACACGGCCCAGACUCCUACGGGAGGCAGCAGUGGGGAAUCUUGGACAAUGGGCGCAAGCCUGAUCCAGCAAUGCCGCGUGUGGGAUGAAGGCCUUCGGUGUAAACUGCUUUUGUACGAACGAAACGGUCUGCCCUAAUACGGCGGGCUAAAUGACGGUACCGUAAGAAUUAAAGCAACCGGCUAACCUACGUGCCCAGCAGCCGCGGUAAU
rnacentral:rRNA from 1 species